UAACCAUGCUGAGGGCAUCUUCUAAGUAUAUCUUUGAAUCUCUCCCAAGCUUCAUAGAAUGGCUCGAAGUCUGACUGUCUGAACUGCCAAAUUUCACUUCUCAAUUA
rnacentral:snoRNA from 1 species